rnacentral:lncRNA from 1 species
UCCUUUUAGAGACUAACUAGCCCCAUCUUAAUUUUUGUAAUGGUUCCACCGUUAUUUGUACUUUUAUGUAAUUGUAUUCUUGUAACUCUUUGUAACUCUUAUUUCUUUACCAUUUGAUCCGAGUGGAUGAAUGGUCCCUAAAAUAGCAAAUCAUCAUGAUCGGAGUAGAUGCAAAUGCUUUGGGCAUCGAUCUAACGAAUGGUACAAUAGCUUACCCCUUAAAAAUUGAUGUGAACUUAGUUGUGCAACCUGUCUGCUAAUUACAGCACCAUGGCUGAUAGAACGGUAGCGAUGAAGCAUCUCUCUAACACGAGGAUGACCUAAAUUAGGAUAUCAAUUUUUUCUUUUGCGAGGGACGGACCACGACUCCGAUACCGAGUCGGUUACGCACAAGCCGCAAAGCCAUGGCUGUCUAUAUACCAUGAUGUGUAUGUAGCUCUCACGUACGUGCAUCUGAGUCCGAACAUCUGAUCUCAUCUGAAGCACCUCCUAUCCCCUCCUGGUGUGGUGUUGAGUAGCGAGAGCGUUUGCUCGAGGCCAUCCCUCAUGCAUGCGCUGGGCUCGGUGAUUAAUGGCCUGCAGGACACGAUGCCGUUUACUGAUCCAAGACUACUAGAGUGGUCGACGCGUGGAUGUUUCACGAUCCAUGCCCAUUCAACAUGAAUUCUGCAACAAGACCACCGGGCUGCUGCGUGGAACGGCUGGUGACCCGUAUAUGCCUCAAUGCAUCACACUGAAUGUCGAGUCCAAGAAGGUGUUUGAGCAGACGUGCACUCCGGGGACGCCACGUUGCCUGCUUCCACCAUGCGGUACAUUAGCAGUCAUGAGAAGACGUUGUCAAUGGCUACUAAUGCACAUGAGUGGAUGGAGACGCUGUAGCUUUUGCGCAAAGCUGCCAUGAGGCUCGUGAUAUAAAUAUGCAUGGCGAACCUUAACCCCAACCCUUCCUUAUUUUGGUAUACUCCAAUAUCUCAUCCUCUUUCUAUCUAUAUCCUCUUCUUAGUAUUCAGCAUUAAUGGGAU